rnacentral:rRNA from 1 species
UACGAAGGGGGCUAGCGUUGCUCGGAAUUACUGGGCGUAAAGCGCACGUAGGCGGUCUUUUAAGUCGGGGGUGAAAUCCUGGAGCUCAACUCCAGAACUGCCUUCGAUACUGGAAGACUCGAGUCCGGGAGAGGUGAGUGGAACUGCGAGUGUAGAGGUGAAAUUCGUAGAUAUUCGCAAGAACACCAGUGGCGAAGGCGG